CCUACGGGAGGCAGCAGUGAGGAAUAUUGGUCAAUGGACGCAAGUCUGAACCAGCCAUGCCGCGUGCAGGAAGACGGCUCUAUGAGUUGUAAACUGCUUUUGUACGAGGGUAAACGCAUAUACGCGUAUCUGUCUGAAAGUAUCGUACGAAUAAGGAUCGGCUAACUCCGUGCCAGCAGCCGCGGUAAUACGGAGGAUUCAAGCGUUAUCCGGAUUUAUUGGGUUUAAAGGGUGCGUAGGCGGUCGGUUAAGUUAGUGGUGAAAUCUGGAGGCUCAACUUCAGAAUUGCCUCUGAUACUGUCAGUCUAGAGUGUAGUAGAGGUAGGCGGAAUUUGUGGUGUAGCGGUGAAAUGCUUAGAGAUCACACAGAACACCGAUUGCGAAGGCAGCUUACCAAGCUACUUCUGACAUUGAGGCACGAAAGCGUGGGGAGCAAACAGGAUUAGAUACCCGAGUAGUC
rnacentral:rRNA from 1 species